rnacentral:rRNA from 1 species
AUUGAACGCUGGCGGCAGGCCUAACACAUGCAAGUCGAACGGUAACAGGAAGAAGCUUGCUUCUUUGCUGACGAGUGGCGGACGGGUGAGUAAUGCCUGGGAAACUGCCUGAUGGAGGGGGAUAACUACUGGAAACGGUAGCUAAUACCGCAUAACGUCGCAAGACCAAAGAGGGGGACCUUCGGGCCUCUUGCCCUCGGAUGUGCCCAGAUGGGAUUAGCUAGUAGGUGGGGUAACGGCUCACCUAGGCGACGAUCCCUAGCUGGUCUGAGAGGAUGACCAGCCACACUGGAACUGAGACACGGUCCAGACUCCUACGGGAGGCAGCAGUGGGGAAUAUUGCACAAUGGGCGCAAGCCUGAUGCAGCCAUGCCGCGUGUAUGAAGAAGGCCUUCGGGUUGUAAAGUACUUUCAGCGGGGAGGAAGGGAGUAAAGUUAAUACCUUUGCUCAUUGACGUUACCCGCAGAAGAAGCACCGGCUAACUCCGUG